rnacentral:rRNA from 1 species
CCGGGUGAGUAACGCGUGGGUAACCUGCCUCAUACAGGGGGAUAACAGUUGGAAACGGCUGCUAAUACCGCAUAAGCGCACGGCAUCGCAUGAUGCAGUGUGAAAAACUCCGGUGGUAUAAGAUGGACCCGCGUUGGAUUAGCUAGUUGGUGAGGUAACGGCCCACCAAGGCGACGAUCCAUAGCCGACCUGAGAGGGUGACCGGCCACAUUGGGACUGAGACACGGCCCAA